rnacentral:lncRNA from 1 species
UUCUCCAGUCAUCAGCAGACUUGAUUGAAUCAGUCCAGGCCACAGAGAGCAGAACUGUAAACAGAAAAUUAUGACUGCCAGAGGAAGAGCACCCAAAUCCAGAACAGACAUUUGCUUCAACAGAAGGUAGUUUUACGAGUACAAGGUCCUGGAAUUUUUACAUAUCUGCAAGGCAAAGAGUGGGAAGGUGGAGGAUUCUUUCAUGAGGCCACUCAACAAGAGCUUGAGGGAGGUGGGCCUUAAACUGUAAACUGGGAACCAUCUUCCUACUUUUUUUUUUGGUACCGGGGAUCGAAUUCGGGACUUCAUGCUGAACUACUGAGUUCCUACUCAGCCCGGGAGACACAGAGGACAAGAAAGGAUGAAGGAAUUUUUGGUCUAGAGCAGGAGAGAGUGAGAUCAGAAUCUGCUUUAUGCUGGCCGUCCUCUUCCCCCACCAAUCUCUCCUCCAAUGCAGAACCUGAGAGCUGAAAGCCAGCCAACUGGGGGCACCAAG